rnacentral:tRNA from 1 species
GGCACUAUGGCGGAGUGGUUAACGCGGUGCCCUGCUAUACCCAUGACAUGGAUUAGCCUAGGCAUUCCCUUCGGGGGCGUGAGUUCGAAUCUCACUGGUGUCG